ACGUACACUCCUACGGGAGGCAGCAGUGGGGAAUAUUGGACAAUGGGCGCAAGCCUGAUCCAGCCAUGCCGCGUGAGUGAUGAAGGCCCUAGGGUUGUAAAGCUCUUUCACCGGUGAAGAUAAUGACGGUAACCGGAGAAGAAGCCCCGGCUAACUUCGUGCCAGCAGCCGCGGUAAUACGAAGGGGGCUAGCGUUGUUCGGAUUUACUGGGCGUAAAGCGUACGUAGGCGGACUAUUAAGUCAGGGGUGAAAUCCCGGGGCUCAACCCCGGAACUGCCUUUGAUACUGGUAGUCUUGAGUUCGAGAGAGGUGAGUGGAAUUCCGAGUGUAAAGGUGAAAUUCGUAGAUAUUCGGAGGAACACCAGUGGCGAAGGCGGCUCACUGGCUCGAUACUGACGCUGAGGUGCGAAAGCGUGGGGAGCAAACAGGAUUAGAAACCCCAGUAGUCCCA
rnacentral:rRNA from 1 species